rnacentral:lncRNA from 1 species
CCAGCUCCAAGAGGAGCCAGAGCGAGUCGGAUACUCACGGCCUGAUCGUAGCAAAGACACAGAACUGGAUUUUCCAGGGCCAAGAAUUGAGGGUCUCUUCCAAUUCUUUCAGCUGUGUCUAGUCUGCCUUUUAACCUAUCCACUGAGUUUCAAUUUCCAUUAUUAUUAUUAUCAUUAUUUUAUUUUAUUUUUAGAAGUGUUAUGUUUCUUUUUUUCACAUCUGCCUGGUCUUUACGAUAGUAUCUUAUUUCUAGCUUCUGUUUUUGACUCCCUCUCUUAUUCCUUUAUGCCCUGUAAAAAUGCUCAUUUCAGAUCCUAUAGGGGAUAAUUCCGACGUCUGACGUCCUUGGGGGACCUCGCUCUGCUGGCGCCAUUUCCGCUGACUCCUGCUCAAAUUCCAACCACCUGCCUGCUUUCCUGGUGACAUUUCAGUAUGGUGCAACCCUUUUGGGGGAGGGCAGGCUCACUGUGUGUUGAUAGCCUGACGACAUCAGUGAAAACACGACUUGAUUUUGUGUAGAACAGACUCUAUGCAUUUGUGAAGCGUGUUCUAAUUCUGGCUCAGCUGGUAGGAAGUAAGCACAUACUAUGUUUAUAUAUUAUAUAGAUAUAUAGUAUAUAUAUACCAUGUUUAUAUAUAUAUGUUAAUUUGUUGAUCUUCCUAAUAAACUCUCCACUUUAUGGAUGAAAAACUGAGUUCUCAGAGAUGAGCCAGAUCCCCGACUCCGCACGCAGCUUGUUCCGCUGGACCACAGCUCCACGUUCUGCUGAAUUUGAUGGGACCCGUGAAACCUAGGAUUUGCAGACCACGAAGCUGUCCAUCUGCCUCUCCCCUCGAUUGCUCAUCUCUGGGCCUGUGAACAGUUGGUCGGACUUCUCCAGCUUCUAGCUGCGUUGCUUUCUACCUUGGCCCUGGCACUUCGAGUGUCUCUGAAGGUCAAUCCCAAAACUUUAUUCUCUCCCUCGUCUCUCCCUCAGCCUUUGCUCCCUCAUCCUCUCUUAGAACUCAGACUUGGAAGUUCACCUGCCUCUUCUUGCAAACUCCAUCUGUCCUGCCCAGCACAGCCAGCACUCCGUAACAGAACCUCUGUCUGCCCAAAGCCUCGUUCCCACGGUUCCUUUGUACAUAGCCCGCGCUCACACUCCAGCCGGGCGUCUUGCUGGUACGUGAGACACACCAAACCCUGCCUGACCUCGAGUUAGCAUUCACGUGCACUAUUUCCUCUCCCUGGAACGUCCUUCCUAACCCUCAGUGCCCCCAGCCAAAUCCUAGUCUUUCUUCAAGGCCUAUUUCAAGUGCCACCUCCUUGAUGAUGCCUCCCCUGAAGCCGCAAUUCUACAUGCCUCCUUUGACUCCCCAAACACUAUAUUUCUCUCAUACGAUUCAUCAUAUGGUGUCCUGUAGCAUAAUUCCUGUUGUUUUAUCCAAAUGCUACUUGUAUUGUAAAUUCUGAAAACAAGUCUGAGUCUCCUUUCUUUUUGGUAUUUCCACAGUACACAGUGUGAUCCUUGACGUAAUAGGUGCUAAGUAAAUGCUUGUUGAUUAUGUGGACGAGUGCUUGCACCAGGAGGUGCGCAGCAAAUAUCUGUUGAAACUGAUUUCCCAAUGAUCCCCACUCUCCUUCUGCAGCAUCUAUACUCCAGGUUUGCAUUCUAGUUGCCUUCAAGAAUGUAUCCGGUAAUGUCAUACCUUUACCCGAAACACAGCACAUCAAAACCUGGACCACCUGUUCCCCUAACUGCCCACCCCCAGCUUCAUUACUUUUGUCUUUUUGCCUCACGAAUGCUCCCAGCUCCUACUUCUGUAAGAAUUGCUUCCUAUGGGGCUGGAUCAGCAUCAGAAGCUGUUCCAGUAGCCAAGUUCUCAGCACCCGGUAUCUGUGGAUUAAUCAGAAUCACAAGAUGAUAGAAUGUCAGAGCUGGCAGUGACCUUGGCCAAACCCCUUCACUGCAGAUGAAGAAACCAAACCCCCAAAGGGAUUUGCAAGAACUAGAGGCAGAACCAUCACAAGACUCCCAUCUUCUCGCUCUUGGCCUAGUCUCCGUCCUCGUGAGAUUUGGCAUGACCUUCCUAAGCUCCUCUGCUUUUCCAGGAGCUUCAGGUGGUUACUUUUCAAGUGACUGCAUGUUUCAGCAGCUCUUUUUCUCUGACUCCCACGGGUGAGAUUGGACGAUCCAGGUCUUUAGAAUCUGCGGCACAGGGCUUGAGCCAAGCUUCUGCCUCUCUCAGAACAUCCUGCCAUAAUGUUAAGCUCAUGAACUCAGCCCCAGUGUGUGGUGAGCCUGUUUCUCAAGGAAUUUCCUAGCAAUUAGCUGGUAGAACUAAAUUCCGCUCUAACCAAACAGCAAACUCAAAUUCUCUCCAUUUUAUCUAACAUCCCCUACAAGGCUAAAGAUAACCCAGGAUGCAUUAGGACUUUGCAUAGUUAAUCAGUUCAAGAAGAGUUAUUUAGAGCAUGAUUAGAAAUGACCAGAAGUCCACAGAAUACAGUUUGAAUCAGACAAUAUGCACUUGGGCUCAAUCAUCUAAACUCACAGACAGCCUCAGAGUGACACUGAUUGGAAAUUACUCAUGCACAUCUGCUCUGCUGAGCCAAACAGGCCAGCGAGCUCUUCCAGCUGGCCCUGCUCUCUCCCAGGCAGGGAGAUGGGAGACAAAUGCCGCUUCUGAGCACUCGCUAUGCACUUUACAUAUGCGAUCUCUUUGAAUUUGAUCCUCUCAAUAACCCUGGUGGUAGUGUCCUCAUUUUACAAAUAAGAGAACUGACGCAAUAAAAAGUGUGGUCACUUAGGCUGAAGAAAGUAGAAGCAGCGUCAGCUGUGUCUCUGUCUCCAAAGACCAAGCUUUUUCUAUAUCACCGAGCUGACUGCACUGAUCGGUCACCUGGCAGUUAUGAUUCCCGACACAAACGUAAAGCAUCAUCCGGCUUCGUACUGCGGAUGUGUCUUACUGAACCUCACGGCCACGUUCCCAGGAGGGAAAUCCUGGUGUUCCUCAGAUGGGAAUUUUGACCCAUUGCACUUAUCCUUCCCCUGGCAGCACUAACAAGAGCUUCAUGAAGACAAGUGUCCCGUGUCAGUUUAUCUGCAGAUGUGUGUCCACACACCAGCAC